rnacentral:rRNA from 1 species
GAUGAACGCUGGCGGCGUGCCUAAUACAUGCAAGUCGAGCGAACAGACGAGGAGCUUGCUCCUCUGACGUUAGCGGCGGACGGGUGAGUAACACGUGGAUAACCUUCCUAUAUGACUGGGAUAACUUCGGGAAACCGGAGCUAAUACCGGCUAACAUGACCAACCGCAUGGUUCAACAGUGAAUGACGGUUUUGCCGUCUCUUAUAGACGGAUCCGCGCCGCAUUAGCUAGUUGGUAAGGUAACGGCUUACCAAGGCAACGAUGCGUAGCUGACCUGAGAGGAUGAUCAGCCACACUGGAACUGAGACACGGUCCAGACUCCUACGGGAGGCAGCAGUGGGGAAUAUUGCACAAUGGGCGAAAGCCUGACCGAGCAACACCGCGUGGGUGAAGAAGGUCUUCGGAUCGUAAAACUCUGUUGUUAGGAAAGAACAGAUGUGUAAGUAACUAUGCACGUCUUGACGGUACCUAAUCAGAAAGCCACGGCUAACUACGUG